rnacentral:rRNA from 1 species
UUUUGCCUAGGGACGCAGCAGUGGGGAAUAUUGCACAAUGGGGGAAACCCUGAUGCAGCAACGCCGCGUGAGUGAAGAAGUAUUUCGGUAUGUAAAGCUCUAUCAGCAGGGAAGAAAAUGACGGUACCUGAGUAAGAAGCCCCGGCUAACUACGUGCCAGCAGCCGCGGUAAUACGUAGGGGGCAAGCGUUAUCCGGAUUUACUGGGUGUAAAGGGAGCGUAGACGGCGAUGCAAGUCUGAAGUGAAAGCCCGGGGCUCAACCCCGGGACUGCUUUGGAAACUGUAUGGCUGGAGUGCUGGAGAG